ensembl:lncRNA
UUUUUUUUUUUUUUUUUAAAACUCCACUUUCUUCCUCCUGCAAAAACUGCAACGUAGAGUCACGUUCCCAUACCCACUGUGGGUGUCAGGAGUGUCCCCCUAUUCUAGGCUGGGGGAAGGAUAGGGGUUUCAACUCUCUCCCCAGGUUCCUGAUGCAGCCUGUGCCCCACCCCCACCCGGUACCCACGAAGUCAGUAGCCGAGGAAGGGAUUCCCAGAGGCAGCUCCCAGGCUAGGACAGGGAACGGAGAGUCUGGCCCCUCCUGGAGGGCGCCCAGCCCUGCCCCCAGCCGGCAGGGUCUCUCAUGGGGUCUGGCUCAGCAGCAGACAGUGGCACUGUGCACAGGGGUGGGGGUGGGAGUGGGGACAUGGAGAGGGACAGGACUCCCGGGAGAGGUGGGGAGGGAGCGGAGAGCUGUGCAGAGGGAAGAGAGACAAGGGGGAAUGGGGGCUUGGCGAGGUCCUGGCUCCGUGGGAGGCCGCGCUGCAGACCACCUGGGAAGAAAGGGUUAGUGCUGGCGGAGGAGAGAGGGGUGAGCAGAGAAUUCACUCCAAGGCCCAGGCCCGACUGAGGGUCCCUCAGGGGGGCGGUCCCAGGUCCAGCCUCGGAGGGGGGCAGGGGGAGGGAACCAGGCGCUAGGAUAAAGACCCAGCCCGCCCCAGCCAGGCCCCCCACCUCCCCUGGCCCGGACCCCGAUUUACCUGCGACCAUCCCCGGCUCGGGAGGAGGGACCAAGGCAGCGCUGAUGUCAGAAAGGUGGGGGGCCCCGCCCCACCCCCCCAAUCCCUGAAAAGGAGGAAAACCUCAACUGCAUCUCGUUGGCCGCUGCUGGCCGGCCCACCCUUGCCCAGUCACGUCCCAGCGCCACCUACUCCUAGCCUCCCCUUGACUGAUCCUGGGGUCAGUGUGGCCAGACCCCCCCACCUCCUCCCAGAGUGCCGACAUCCAUGCGCCCCUCCAUCCAGGAUGGCCGGGCCUCCCUCACCUCCCGGCUGGCAGAACCCACACACAGGCCGGGGCGAGGGCACGGGGCGAGGGCGGAGGGUUUGCAGUGAAUUCUCUGCUCCUGCUUGGCCUGUCACCAAAGCAGCUGGCCCCAAUGGGACCGGGGGGGGCUGGGACCUGGCACCGGCUUGGGGGGCAGCCCCAGUGGCAAGAGGGGCUCGGGCAAGAGCUAGUCCUCAUUCCCCACCUUCAGCAGGCUUGGGAGGGAGGGGGACAGGCAGCACUCCCUUCACAGCGUGGGGACAAUGUGGCUCAGGGCCCCCGGCACAAAGCAGCCAGGAGGAUGUAGUUUUGUAGAGGGAGAGAAGCCUGGGACAUAGAGCUGGCCAGGAGCCAGAACGACCCUGGCUUGGGCCCUGGGGACUGGCCAUCUCCCUGUCCCUGAUGCCCCGAGGGGGUCAGCCUGCACACUCCGUCCAGCACACUGGCUCUGCCCAAGCCGGUCCCCACCCCCGCCAGGUGUGUGGCAUCUGAGGGGACAUGUUUGUGUGAGGGGGAUGGUGGGAGGCCUCAGAGCCUAACCUGCUCAGAGGGUAUCAGGGGAGGAAAAAUGUGGUUAGAGGUCAACCCAGGGGAAGGGGGAGAAGAUGAGGAAGGGUCUGUGGGGCCUUGGACAGCAAGGACCUUUCACCAGCACCAAGCUCCCAAUCCCUCCUCUUCCCUCCCUUACCCCAUCACCCCACCCGCCCUGCCCUGGCCCUCGAAGAGAAAAGCUCCAGUGGUGCCGCAUCCAAACCAGUGGGCCUGCAAGAAGAGUGGCUGGUGCUGGGAGGGAGAGAGACUCCAGGAGAGAGAGAGGAGAGUGGAGGGGUGCAGUGAGGGGGCGGACCUCGGGCCAACAGCCCAGGCCUCUCUGAGAUGGGGGAGAGGGGAAGACGGGGAGGGGAGCAGCUCAGAGGGGCCCUGCCCCACCUCCUUCGGAAGGGAUGCUCCACAGACCACUGUAAUUUCAAGGCAAAAGGGAUCCCUAAAGGCCAUUCCUCCAGCCCCCGCCGCUGCCAGCCUCAAAUGGGUAAUUUCCCAAAACUUUCAGGGGAGGAAAUGGUCAUCCCUAACGUCUCACCCUAGAAGCCCCUCAGCAGCAGCACCUCCGCCCCACCAGUAACGGACAGCCCCAUCCACUAGGGAGUUCUCUGCCAGAAAUUACAGAGUCUGUGGAAGUCCCCAGACUGUGCCCCCCCCGCCCGCCGCCCCUCUCCCUGGUCCUCUAACCACAACAGCCCAGAAGAAACCCUGACUGCAGCUUUGCAAGUGUGAAAGAAACAGAGAACACGCUCCCCACCCUUCGCCUCCCCCCAACCAUGAGGCCCGCCCGCCCCCCUCGCCCUCAUUUUUUCAUUUUUGGCAGGCUGCCCCUCCCAGGGCUGGGGACAGCUGACACCUCCCAGGGCUGGGCCCCAGCUGGUCAGAGAUGGGAUCGGGUUGGUGGGGGGACUGGUGCUCCGUGCUCCAAAACAGCUCUGGGCCUUGGAAACGUCAAACCAGAAGGAACUUAAGCCACCAGGAGCCCGAGACAUAGGAGGAAUCUGCUCCCCAAAAGGAAAACAAUGGUGUCCCCUCCAGCCCGCCUCCCCUGAACCAGAAACAUGUUAUAAAAGGUGCAGGUGAAGGAGGAAGAGAGAGGGGAGAGACAGAG